AAUCAAAAGAUUUUAGAGUGUUUCUGUCAGAAUAUGUUCACUGUAACAGAUAACAUUUUAUUUCUUACUCUCUCUUGGCAGGUAUUGUUUGCAGAGACCUAAAACUGGAAAGCAUUUUAGUUAAAAGCAGUGACAUCAAUGAAAUAAAUGAAGUGAAAGUAAACAUAAAGGUUUUCCAUCCUUUCAUUCAACUCACCACUUCCAUCAAUAGAAACCACCACGGGCAGCUGUUCUUUUUUCAUGGCCUUGCUUUAUGUACCCCUUUGGAACAGCAACCAGCACACACUCUGUCCUCUCUCCUGCAAGGUCCAAGCAUUUUUUUCUAUGUUCCAUCCUGUGAAUGAG
rnacentral:lncRNA from 1 species